CGGGGAUAGCAGCAUCCCCGCCUCAAGACAACACAUCGUCCAAGGUCUGC
rfam:Gallionella sp. ShG14-8 contig00049, whole genome shotgun sequence.